GAUGAACGCUGGCGGUGUGCCUAAUACAUGCAAGUCGAGCGAACGGACGAGAAGCUUGCUUUUCUGAUGUUAGCGGCGGACGGGUGAGUAACACGUGGAUAACCUACCUAUAAGACUGGGAUAACUUCGGGAAACCGGAGCUAAUACCGGAUAAUAUUUUGAACCGCAUGGUUCAAAAGUGAAAGACGGUCUUGCUGUCACUUAUAGAUGAAUCCGCGCUGCAUUAGCUAGUUGGUAAGGUAACGGCUUACCAAGGCAACGAUGCAUAGCCGACCUGAGAGGGUGAUCGGCCACACUGGAACUGAGACACGGUCCAGACUCCUACGGGAGGCAGCAGUAGGGAAUCUUCCGCAAUGGGCGAAAGCCUGACGGAGCAACGCCGCGUGAGUGAUGAAGGUCUUCGGAUCGUAAAACUCUGUUAUUAGGGAAGAACAUAUGUGUAAGUAACUGUGCACAUCUUGACGGUACCUAAUCAGAAAGCCACGGCUAACUACGUG
rnacentral:rRNA from 1 species